rnacentral:rRNA from 1 species
UACGGAGGGUGCAAGCAUUAAUCGGAUUUAUUGGGCGUAAAGGGCGCGUAGGCGGAGAUAAAAGUCAGAUGUGAAAUCCUGGGGCUCAACCCCAGAACAGCAUUUGAAACUCUAUUUCUAGAGGGUAGGAGGAGAAAACGGAAUUCCACAAGUAGCGGUGAAAUGCGUAGAUAUGUGGAAGAACACCGGUGGCGAAGGCGGCAUCCUGGACCGGUAUUGACGCUGAGGCGCGAAAAGCUAGGGGAGCAAACGGGG